rnacentral:miRNA from 1 species
AAGCGAUUUAUUUGUGUAGCUCAUUAUACAUGCAGAUUCCGAUGUUUACGUCAUUGUAUUUUCAUAUAAAUACAAUGACGUAAACAUCGGAAUCUGCAUGUAUAAUGAGCUACACAAAUAAAUCGCUU